rnacentral:rRNA from 1 species
UUGGACCGCAUGGUCCGAGCUUGAAAGAUGGCUUCGGCUAUCACUUUUGGAUGGUCCCGCGGCGUAUUAGCUAGAUGGUGGGGUAACGGCUCACCAUGGCAAUGAUACGUAGCCGACCUGAGAGGGUAAUCGGCCACAUUGGGACUGAGACACGGCCCAAACUCCUACGGGAGGCAGCAGUAGGGAAUCUUCCACAAUGGACGAAAGUCUGAUGGAGCAACGCCGCGUGAGUGAAGAAGGGUUUCGGCUCGUAAAACUCUGUUGUUAAAGAAGAACAUAUCUGAGAGUAACUGUUCAGGUAUUGACGGUAUUUAACCAGAAAGCCACGGCUAACUACGUGCCAGCAGCCGCGGUAAUACGUAGGUGGCAAGCGUUGUCCGGAUUUAUUGGGCGUAAAGCGAGCGCAGGCGGUUUUUUAAGUCUGAUGUGAAAGCCUUCGGCUCAACCGAAGAAGUGCAUCGGAAACUGGGAAACUUGAGUGCAGAAGAGGACAGUGGAACUCCAUGUGUAGCGGUGAAAUGCGUAGAUAUAUGGAAGAACACCAGUGGCGAAGGCGGCUGUCUGGUCUGUAACUGACGCUGAGGCUCGAAAGUAUGGGUAGCAAACAGGAUUAGAUACCCUGGUAGUCCAUACCGUAAACGAUGAAUGCUAAGUGUUGGAGGGUUUCCGCCCUUCAGUGCUGCAGCUAACGCAUUAAGCAUUCCGCCUGGGGAGUACGGCCGCAAGGCUGAAACUCAAAGGAAUUGACGGGGGCCCGCACAAGCGGUGGAGCAUGUGGUUUAAUUCGAAGCUACGCGAAGAACCUUACCAGGUCUUGACAUACUAUGCAAAUCUAAGAGAUUAGACGUUCCCUUCGGGGACAUGGAUACAGGUGGUGCAUGGUUGUCGUCAGCUCGUGUCGUGAGAUGUUGGGUUAAGUCCCGCAACGAGCGCAACCCUUAUUAUCAGUUGCCAGCAUUAAGUUGGGCACUCUGGUGAGACUGCCGGUGACAAACCGGAGGAAGGUGGGGAUGACGUCAAAUCAUCAUGCCCCUUAUGACCUGGGCUACACACGUGCUACAAUGGAUGGUACAACGAGUUGCGAACUCGCGAGAGUAAGCUAAUCUCUUAAAGCCAUUCUCAGUUCGGAUUGUA